rnacentral:tRNA from 1 species
GUGGGUAUAGCUCAGUGGUGGAGCACAUGCUUGGUAUGCAGGAUGUCCUGGGUUCAAUCCACAGUACCUCCA